GGAUACUGGAUUUUGGACAUUAAAUCUGGUUUGGAUAGAAAGAAAAACAAACCUUUUGUUCGUCUUUAAUAAGCCGGUUAUCCUGGUCCGCGUCGUGGAGCCUGUUCCUGGAAAACUGAGCAUGAGGUGCUCAGUGAGAUUGUCUUGCCCGCGGAUCGCUGCAUCGAUUCACCCAGCACUGUUCUUCCGCUCCAUCUUGUUCUAACCUCGUCUCUAAAUGGUGGAAAACAUCUAAAACACAUCCUCUACAGCCCUGCUUUGAAGCGUUUCACACAAUCACACUCUGGCGUUCGUGUAUCCGUGUUUGAAGCGUCCCCAGGCUCCAGUGGACAGUUAGGACGACGUGGUUGGCACGGUGUGUUGAUGCAGACGGCUUUGUUUAACAACGUGCUUGACCGUGUUUUAUAAUGCUGUUCUCCCCGCUUGAUAAAAUGCUCAGGGCUGAGUCUCCCAAAAACAUCACCAGGUUAAGAUCAUUAACUGGGAGAGAGAGAGAGAGAGAGAGAGAGAGAGUGUUCAAUGUAAGGCACUCUCGACCGUUUAAGUGAGGCUUUUGGGAAACUGGGCUCUGCUCUGUUUAUUGACGCAUUCAGCUGGAGAUGUAGGACUCGUGUUAAUGUCUCACUAGAUAUGUCCACGGCCUCAGCCGAGAGGCUGACACAAUGCACGAA
ensembl:lncRNA